rnacentral:rRNA from 1 species
GACGAACGCUGGCGGCGUGCCUAAUACAUGCAAGUUGAGCGCUGAAGGUUUGUACUUGUACCAACUGGAUGAGCAGCGAACGGGUGAGUAACGCGUGGGGAAUCUGCCUUUGAGCGGGGGACAACAUUUGGAAACGAAUGCUAAUACCGCAUAAAAACUUUAAACACAAGUUUUAAGUUUGAAAGAUGCAAUUGCAUCACUCAAAGAUGAUCCCGCGUUGUAUUAGCUAGUUGGUGAGGUAAAGGCUCACCAAGGCGAUGAUACAUAGCCGACCUGAGAGGGUGAUCGGCCACAUUGGGACUGAGACACGGCCCAAACUCCUACGGGAGGCAGCAGUAGGGAAUCUUCGGCAAUGGACGAAAGUCUGACCGAGCAACGCCGCGUGAGUGAAGAAGGUUUUCGGAUCGUAAAACUCUGUUGGUAGAGAAGAACGUUGGUGAGAGUGGAAAGCUCAUCAAGUGACGGUAACUACCCAGAAAGGGACGGCUAACUACGUG